rnacentral:lncRNA from 1 species
AUGGCUCCAGCGCUGCCCGGGGAGGAGGAGGUGAGCGAGUCUGGCUCAUGGCAGCGUGCUCCUAGCAUCUGUCGUGUUUCUCCUCUACGGGCUGGCUCGGGGCGGCUCAUCCCGGCGGGGCCCCGGGCGGGCAGCCUUCGGGGCCGCGCGGGUCUACCUGCGCCAGCCCCGCACCUGGGCGACCCCGGCGGAGCCCACACGGACGACGCCAUGGGCCGGGCGUCCGGGCGCCGGUCCUCUUCCUCCGCCCAGGCCGCCGACCCCCCGGCUCCCCAGCGGGGCCUCCUCCUGCCACGUGACGCCCCCGCCAGGGGCCCCAGCGCCCUCCUCGCGGACGCGCCGUUCCGGCUCCCGGGCUCCGCCUGUGCGCGGCCUCCUCGGCGCAGCCAUCCUCGCGGCUGCCGAGGGCGGCAAAGCCCACGGCAUCUGCCAUUUGUCAUUCAGCCCGUCGGGACCGCCCCGAGCCUUGAUUUAGACACGUCUGGGGCGUCUUCUGGCCUCAGUCUCCUGGCGGGCGGACGGACGGACGGACGGGGCGGCUCUCCUCCCAGCCCGGCGGACCGCGGGCCUUGGCGCGCGGGGUGCUUCCCCGGGUCGCCGUCAUGGCCGCGGAGGCGGCGCGCCCGAGCUGCCGCGCCUGAGUUCCGGGGGGCCCGUGACCCCGCAGGGCACUCCCAGAACCAUGUGGAUGCCUCCCAGGAAAAUGACUUACUCUGGAUCAUGAAAAGGCUGAACUAACCCAGCUCUGACUUGCAGUCUUAGGGUUGAAGUUUAAUAAAAUUGUCCAAUUGUCGAUGAGCCAUGCAAUAGAAACCACUGAUAUCAUCAGCAAACACCUUCCAGGAAUCUGCAGUGUCAGCACAGACCUGCUAAGGGAAGGUACCUUCAUCAAGCCCAACUUAAUCAUGUCCCUCCCGCUGGAAGCCAGUAGCUGUGUAUCACAGAGAUGGAGCCUGGGUCGAGGCUGCGUAUCACAGUGAAUGGAGCCUGGAUCGAGGCUGUGUAUCACAGCGAUGGAGCCUGGAUUGAAUUGUAGCUGUGUAACACAGAGCUGGAGCCUGGAUUGAAUUGUGGCUGUGUAUCACAGAGAUGGGGCCUGGAUUGCGGCCAUCUUCCGGAACUAUAUCCACCCAGCAGACUGCCAUGCCAAUGUCAUCUGCUACAUUGUGUGCUGGGUGCUUCAGUUCCCUCCAUAAGGCUGGCUCUGUCUCUCUCUCACCAAUGGCAGCAUCACUCACUUGAUGGUCUGGCCUGAUGGCUGAGUGGCACUUGGGAUCCUUGGGGACAUGGGGUUCAUACCUCUGGGUAAGAUCUCCUAAUCCUAAGGGCUGCCUGAAGUGACCACUCUCCUCAACCCCUGGCCUGGCUCCCACAGAUGCCACCAAGGACACAGCUCCUUCCCUGUCUUCCCUCCGCAGAUUAUUUACAUUGCAUUUCUCCAGGAGGAGAGAGAAGUACAAAUACCUAAAGUAUUUAAAAUGUCCGUACUUUGUGCCCCAAUGGAAAAGGAAAUCAUUCUGAGCAGGUCAGCCUGUUUCUUGUGAUUUUUUUUUUGCAUUAUAAACCAGGAGGAGGCCUCAUUGAUGCCAUCUGCAGAGACCACGGCCGGUCCAUGUGAGAGUCUUUGGUUGUGAGCCCCUCAAGGCUCCUCUGCAAAGCCCAUCAGUCAUGAAGGGCUCCAAAGUGGAGGGGCCACCA